AAUCAAGUUAAUAACAAUGUACCUACCUAUAUAGUUUAAGUUUAAAAAAUUUGGCUCUCAAAAGAAAUUCCAGUCGUUGUCCUGUUGAUAUUUGGCUCUGGUGGCUAACGAGUUUGCCCACCACUGGCCCAAGCGGUCCUUCCGCUGAGGCUCUGUCUCUUGGACGUUCAACCUGGUCCGUACUUGGUGCUCUUCCCACCCUCCCUACCUGUUGACCACGCCCCUCCUCAAUCUCUGGAAUCUCACAGGUCCCUGGAGUCAGGUCCCUUCCAGAACCCUAAGGGAAACACCCAGAGUGGGCUGUUACUGUUCAGAUGCCCAGGGAUCCUCUCUUACUCGGAGCCCAAGACUAGUCCAGGCCUUCCCGCCUGCCUCCCUCUGCUGUCCACCACCAGUUAAGGAACCGCACGUUUUACUGGGAGAAAAGCAGCCAUGGCCGGACUGAAAUGAACUGAACGUAUCCAAUGAUGUGGGGGGGGGGGGGGGGGGCGGUGUUGCCACAGAAAGCCCCCUCCCAUGAGUGAAAGCGGCGAGCCCCUUUACCCACCCCAGCCCAGGAGCCUGUGCGCACCCAGCAGGUGCGAUUGGAGACGACCCGGCCAGCGGGAGGGGCACCCUGUGCUGAGAGCAGGGUCCCUUUUAGCUGGGAGCCGCCCUGCUUUUGGACGGAACAGGGUGCAGGCUGAGCCCCAGUAACUGGGCUUGAGACCCAGCAAGUGCAGGACCCGGGUCCCUCUUUUCUAAAUGCCCGUGAAGGCUUAGGUCAAGGGCGGAGGCCACUCGGGGGAAAUGCUGUUCGGAGACGGUGCAGUGAUGCUUCUCGAACUCAUCAUGGUUUAGGGGACAAAACCAACCAGGGCAACACCAACCUGAGAACUGUCUCAGGGAGCUCAGGUCUUCAGCCCCAGGUGGCAGGAGGGGCUGAGUGAGGAGGAGGGAGAAGACGCUGGCAGGGCCGGCAGUCUUCCUAGAGGCAGGGUCCUAGCUACCCAUGAGCCUAUUCAUGUUGGGGCUGGCCCAGCCUUCCACGGAGUAGAGCCCUUCCUCCUUUUCUCCUCCCUGAUGAGGAUCCAGGUGCAAUCAUCCAUCUUGGGGCAGGGGGGUGAAAUGGGGUGGAAGGGGGGGCAGUAGAGCCUGGCUGCUUGGGAGAGCAUGUGGGAGACUAUUAAAUAAAGGCAGGCCAGGGGACUUGGGGUGGGCGGGGGUGCCAGGGAAGCAGUGGUGCUCUGCCCACUCCCCACCUUCAGAAGGGGUCCUCCUGCAGCUUCUCACCCUGCUGCUCUCUUGGCUGGGUCUCUGCUUCAAAGCAUUCUGACCGCCCCCCCCCCCACACCCCCGAUUUCAUGGAAAGGCAUCCCUGACAGCCACCUCAGAAAGAAGACAAACCCACAUCCACACAGGGCUGGAGCCUCCCCUGCCUGAACCCCAGAGCACACCCUCCCACCGCCCCCCCUCCCUCUCUCUCUCUGGCCUGUACUGCAGGGCCCUCUGGGUCUGCUCAGCGGCUGAGAGAGGAAGUGGCUUUGUUGUGCCCGGGGAUUGUCUGGAUUCUGAAACUUGGGCUUCCUUCCCUGCCCUUCUUGGCAGGAGAAUCCUCAGUUGAAGAGACUGCCGCCCCCCCACCCCACCCCCAAUACACACACUCCAGUGUCCCCUCCUUCCAGCUCAGCACCAUCCAUCUCCGUCUCCUCAGAGCAAGGAAUGCGGCUCCGGACACUGUGGGGCUUGUUCCCAAUCCCCUUCUAGCUCAUUGCACUUGGACUUUUACAGACUCGCCUUCCUCCCACGGGCUGCUGUCUGAGUUCUGGCUCUGAGGCCCAGACAGAGGUCUCCCCUCCCUGCCAGCCUCACAUUUCAUCUUGUCCCAACACCAUCUGAGGUGGCCUGGGGGGGUCAAGGCACCCUUGGUGGGAACCGGUGGGGGGGUAGGGUCCCCCUUCUUCCCAUUUCCAGCCAUUCAGGCUGGCCUCUGGCGUGGCCGGGCCCUGCACUAUACACUGUCUACAAGCCCUCCAUCCUGCACCCACCCUUCCUGGCCACGCCCCGCAAGCCCCGAUUAUUGCUGGAAUUAGCACAGGGCUUCUUGCUGGCAGUUGCCAAUUAGGACCAUUAAUACAUUCGAUUAUCAAUGCAGUAGCUGGCUGCAGCCCCAGCACCUAUCACCGGCACCACUGGCCAGGAGCGGGCGCCAGGGUGAGGGUGACGGUGACGGUGACGUCUGCCUGCCUCCACCUGGGGAAGGCUGCUCCUGCCAGGCCUGCCCCCCGUGCCUCAGGCUCUUCCAGGCACAGGUGGGUGGGUACAGAGGCUCAAGGGGACUCAGCUGAAUCUUCUGGAGAAGUAGAGGGACAGCCUUCACUCCUGGGGACCCCAAACUGAAACCAGGGAUGCCAGUGUGUGUGGCAGGGAGGCGGGGGGCGGGAGGGGGAGUGUGAGCCAGCGAUGAGGGCAUCUUUCUUCCCCAGGACCUCCGGGGGCAGGUUGGCUGGAGCGUAGGAAGACUCAGGGGGAGAACUGGGGUGACACCCUAAUGCACAUCUCUGCUUCCCAGCACCCAGAGCUCUUGGCACCUCCAGUUCCCCCUGGACUUCAGCCAGGUGAUGGCGUAUUUUAAUUUUCCCAGUGGGUAGGGGACCAUCCUAUGGGACCGGGAAACUCUCUCUGUAAAAAGGGGAACAUGCACCUCACAGUGACUGAGGACCUACUAGGCGCCAGGCCUUCGGAGUACUUUAAUCAAUAAAAUGUAGUUUACAUCUUCCAGGGGACUGUCCCUCAUCCCUCCAGACGGAUGAGGCUGCCUCCUCUGCAGGUGCCCUCACCCUUUCAUUCCCAGCCCCUCACAGGGUGUUGUAAGGAGCUGUUCUAACGGAAGCCAGUGGUUGUGCGUUGUUCCAGCAAGGAGAGCCCCACCAGGCUUUGUUGCCACAGCCGUGCCCUUGCCCGCCGUGCCCUGCCCUCCACCCUCAGGCUCCAGAGCGGGAUGAACGGCAAGUCGUCCUUUGUCCGAGUUUGUGUCAGCUGGACCUAAUCGGAGCAAGAGAGGCCGCUGAGCCACAGCUAGGACUUGAAGGAGCUGGGAGGUGGCCUGGCAAGCAGGGCUGGGCCCUCCAAAGGAGCCGGUUGGCUCUCAGCAGGCCCGUGUGGGCUUCCUCGGGCCCAGCCUGGCCUCUGCACCUCCUCCCCCAUCCACUCAUGCCCCAGAAGUGGUCCAAGGUGGCCCGGGAGAGCUUGGGAAGGCUCCCCCCCCAAAAAAAAGCCUGCUUUCACUUUUCUCCACCCGAACUUCAAUGUCCUGACUUUUAUCUGCAGCUUUUGAAGGAAGGAUCCACCAAGACUUUAGUCUCCCUAACCCAGGGAAAAAGAAGAGAAAAAACGUCCUGAAAACAAAACCCCUACAACAACCUUAAAGACUUCAAGAGGAGAGACAUUCAGUGAAGGACUGUGGGAUGAAUGGCGGCCGACCUCCCCCCAAAUCAAGCCCUGAGUCCAGACGGCGGGAGCGGUGGGGGAAGGGCCAGGAGUGCUCCAGCUGGGGGCGAGCCUCCCUGCCAGGGACACCCCUGUUGGGCAGGCCUGGGACAAUGGGGCUGCGGGGCUGCCUGAGAGUCCAGGUGUGGGCUGGGGUCCCACAGUGUGAAUGGCCCAUUAUCCUGCCUAGAGGAUGGGAAUUGAGGGUCUCUUUGUGUCCCCCAGGAAAGGCCCCUCUGGGUGAUAAUCACCCUGGGAGGGAGGUGGAGUUGGUGAUAAGGGUCUUUAUUGGGGGCCAAGCCUCCUCAGAGAACAGUUGGCCAUUCAGCCUUCAGCCCUUCACUUGUCUCUGGCCGCCUGGGAUCCCAUGGCCCAUCCACGGGGGGGGGGGGGGGGGGGGAGUGAGGGGGGGCCAGCAAACACAGCCACACCCUCCCCAUCACUAUGGCUACUAGACUGAGUUCAAGGACAGCUUUCUACAGGAAAUCACUCCCGGGCCCCCUUCCUAACCUCCAUCUAGCCUUGGAGACCGUAGGGGGCUUGUCUCAUCUCCACCAACUCACCGAGUGUCUCUGAGGCCAGACCUGCCUGCGAGUGGACGUGGACUCUGCGCGUCCCUCCACUUCUAUGAAACACUCACCGGGGUCUCACUCCACCCUACACAUGCCCUUUAGAAUAAGGCAUCGGCCCCAAUUCACAGAUGGCAAAACUGCGCUUCAGGGCGGUGAAGAGGCUCCUGUGAGGCUGCACAGCCAGCAGGGGAGAGCCCAGAUGAGAGCCCGGUCUUUCAAACAACAGGCACGAAGCUUUGGCACUUGCCGUCCCUCUACCUGGGAUGCUCACCUCCCCAUUCGCCGAAGGGCUGGCCUCCUCAGCUGGCUUCCUUGUCUCCUUUGGUCUUUGCUUGCAUCAGGCCUUCCCUGGAAGGAGAUGUCUGAGAUGUGCUUCUAAACAGCACAGGAGGUGGGUCAGACAGACGUGAGCAGAGCCAGGACACUCCCCAGGGUAGAAAGCCCUGGUGCCCAGCAAGGGGCAAAACUGGGAAAUCAAGAAGCUUGCCCACAGGGUAACCUGUCCUCACCUAGCCUAUCACUGGUCGUGCUGUUUGGAUCCCUGAUCUUUACCCCCCUAAAGAUAACAUCUAGGCUUCAGCUCCAGGCCCAGAAAAGCUGCAAAACCAGAGAGGUGAUGCCCUGUGGGCCUCAGCACCAGCUGUACUGACUGACCCCUGCCCUGGCACCGACCAAUCAGGAGACCAGGAAGCUGAACGAGCACACCUGGAAAGCUGAUGAAUAUUCUAUGAAGACCCUCCCCUGAGAUUUCCAUCUGCAAGAGAGAUACGUGUGCUGGGGACAAAGGACCCAGUGCCAUUCCCUCACAGGCAUGGAUCCCCCAACCUCUAAGGGACCCCAGGAAAGUUGCAACCCGGGGAGCAAUGGGCAGCGGCAGCUCCUCCCGGGCUCACCCCUGGACCUGUCUCCACGGCCCCCUUCUCUGAUUUCUCAGUGAGCCAGAGCAGCCCGCCUAGACUUCCCUGUUGCUUCUUCUAUGGCUAUGCCCUUCCUUGUUUCACUGUCCUAGGUCUAUUUUUGCUGCCAUCAUGGGCCCCAUAACCUUUGGCUCAGUGCAGUGUAGCCCUUCCCUUUAGAUAUCCCCAUCCCCCACCCCCCUUUCCUUAAAUAAAUUCAAUUUUUCUUUAUUCAA